CUACGGGUGGCAGCAGUAAGGAAUAUUGCGCAAUGGAGGCAACUCUGACGCAGCCAUGCCGCGUGCAGGACUGAAGGCCUUAUGGGUCGUAAACUGCUUUUAUUUAGGAAUAAACUCUUGUACGUGUACGAGACUGAAGGUACUAAAUGAAUAAGCACCGGCUAACUCCGUGCCAGCAGCCGCGGUAAUACGGAGGGUGCAGGCGUUAUCCGGAUUUAUUGGGUUUAAAGGGUGCGCAGGCGGACUAUUAAGUCAGAGGUGAAAUCCCGGAGCUCAACUUCGGAACUGCCUUUGAUACUGGUAGUCUUGAAUACGGUUGAAGUAGGCGGAAUGUAGCAUGUAGCGGUGAAAUGCAUAGAGAUGCUACAGAACACCGAUCGCGAAGGCAGCUUACUAAGCCGAUAUUGACGCUCAGGCACGAAAGCGUGGGGAGCGAACAGGAUUAGAUACCCGGGUAGUC
rnacentral:rRNA from 1 species